AGGGAAGAGGAGAAUAGUGAAGUGCUGUCAUGGGAAGUAAGAUAUAAAUAAAAUGACCCUGUUUCCAAAGAGGCAGUACAGCCCAGAGGCUCUGUUCUUGGGCGUGCACAUUGUUGGGUGGUUUUGACAGGCUGUGGAGCUAAACCAGAGCUCAGAGUCAAGAAGGAGAAAGGAGGCACAGGCUUGGCAGCCAGAUGGUUUUUCUUCCUCUGCCUUCUGUUGGGUGGCUUAGAGGAUGCACACGGAACCCAGACUGCGCUCUUUCCUCUGAAUGACUUCUAGCCACAUCCCUCCCUGACCCCAAACUGAAAGCCAUUCUAUUUUAACAUUUCUCUUGGGAAGUAGAUUCCAAAAUUUCCCUAAGUCUUCCCGUAAGGGGAGCCUCUGAUUUCCAGUAAAUCAAGGGUCACAUAGUUUUCUAUAUUCAUUUGCAUUUGGUUUGCAUAAAUUAGCAUGCUACCAAGUCCUGGACUCUGAGUCAAAGCAAGCCAGGGAAUUAAUGCAAAAAGGCUCAAGCUUCUGUGCCCCUGGGAAAUGGCAGAGGAAGACAGCUUCAGCCUCAGAGCGCACAGCACUGAUUUGUAAGAAACAGGUCUCAUCAUCCCCUUGGCCAGCAGAUUUUCACCCUGGGCCCACUAAGAAGCCUGCCAGGGGGUCCUCUGUUGUCUGGACCCUGAGGCUUCAUCCUCAAUGUGUUGGAGCCUAGGAGAGAGGAUUAGAGUUAUGCGAGUUUCCCAACGGUGCAGUCUCUACUCACCGCAACCUCUGCCUCCCGGGUUCAAGCAAUUCUCCUGCCUCAAUCUCUUGGGUAGCUAGGAUUACAAGCAUGCGCCACCACUCCCAGCUAAUUUUGUAUUUUUAGUAGAGAUGGGAUUUCUCCAUGUUGGUCAGGCUGGUCUCGAACUCCUGACCUCAGGUGAUCCACCCAGCUCAGCUUCCCAAAGUCCUGGGAUUCCAGGCAUAAGCCACUGCACCUGGCCUGUUUCUAUUUUCUUUUGCCAGGCAGGUUAUGUUAUACUGGGGUUUCUUGCUGAGGUCUGUCCUGGGACUGUCUGAGGUGUCACAAAGAGCCCACAGGUACAGACGAGAAAUUUGAAAGUGACUCCAGACGCAGCAGAUGACAGCAAGAUGGGACUCCAAGUUCUUUUUCUAGAAAUUACAAGCUGCUCCGCUACCCACACAUGUAGCUCAUUCUCCCUGUGGCCAAGACACUCCUGUGCCUGAGGGAAAGGCAAUGCCUGCGGCAGAAACGGAGCGGUCCCCCAGCCAGGGAAGAGAGUGGCACCUAGUAUGGUACCCAAUGCUCUAAGGCAUGGAGCUUAUUGACUGCUGACUGUAGACCAGCCACUCACCACAGUGUAGGUUGGAAGCCUUCUAAGGCCAUGCGUUUUGCAAACUCAGCCCAUGAUGGGGCCAGGAGUGUGGGCUCCAGUGUCACCCCCUUGGGAUUUAAUCCUGGCUGCACCUCUGGGGGCCUUGGGUAAGUUCUUGUAACUCCUCUAUGCCUCAGUUUCCUCAUCUGUAAAAUGGGAACAAUAAUGCCUACUUCAUAGAGUUGUGGGGAAAGAACUAAGCACGAUAAUCCCUGUAGAGCUCUUAGAAGAGUGGCUGGCAGAGAGGAAGCACUCAGUAGAGGCUGUGAUGACACACGGCAGCCCUGAUAAGAUGCAAUAGAAAGAUUGCAGAGCUUGGAGAGAAACACCGGAUGGGCCCCCAGUUGCUUGGCUCCGUGCCCGAUAUGGCAGCUGCUCUUACAAUUUCAACUUCAGUUGCUGCAGACACGGCAGCUCACUGUGUGGAUGAGGGCCAGGUUCAGGCUCUGGCCAACCACAGGUUGGGAAAUGACACUGUUAGCUGACGAUGUAUCAUCUGGUUUAAUGAUGUUUCUUCCUGUUUUAAGUUUUCCUUUCCUUUUUUAGGAGAGUAUAAGGGAAAGAAAUAGUCCCUUCCUUUCUUUGGAGAGAAGGAAUCCAUGAGCUGGAAGGAGGGACCCUGGCACGAAGAAAGGCACAGGCCCCUCCCUAACUUGUUUCUACCACUCCCCUUUGAGGGCCCCUGGGGAAGGUUGGUUAGUCUUGAAUCUGUGACCAGGAGAAACCAAAAAUCCUUAGUGGGGUUUCUCCCUGUCCUAGGCCUCCUGUCAGAGCUAGCGGAGAUCUGCUGGAAGGAGGCUGGGAGGAGGGGAUGUACAGAUGCCAUCAUGCCUGGAUGGAGCACCAGAAGGUCUUUAUAACAAGUAUUUGUGGAGCUCCUAAUAUGUGCCAAACUGUGGUAGACCUGGAUACGCAGAAACACGGCCACUCCCCUAAAGGAGGUUGCAGGCUAUACCAAUUAAAAUAAUUAUUUCAGUCCCUUCUUAUCAACAGAGUCGUCCAUGGAGACUAUUUCUCCCCCUGCCCCAGGCACACAGAAGCCUUGAGGCUUUCACUGUGGCCCCACGGUGACAGCACACCCAGGUGGCACUCUCAGCUUAUCACUGAUUUGCAGAGCUGCUGUCUUGCAGCUAAAAGCAAUGUGCUGGUGGAUUUUUAAAAAGAAGUUCUGAGAGGCUUCUUAGAAGGUCAUUCUCCACAUCACUAACUAUUCGGAUUCCGGAGCACGGUGCCAAGCCCCUCCAUUUACUGCAGCCUUGCCCUUCCUCUCAAGAUCCAGCCGCUAAUGCUAUGGGAUGGCUGGUGGCCCCACUUGGGCUCCCCCAACCCCCACCUCGACCCCUAGCUUCCGCCUGUUUGGAGCUGUUAUCAGAGGAAACAGACUUGAACAUGACGGAGUUGCUGUCUCUUGGGCCUGACCAGAGAGUUGUGUUUUCUUGGCCUAUAUCACCUCAGAUUUAUCCUCGGCCUGACCGCAGUCAUUAUCAGCUAAAUUCACCAUCUCUAGAUGCCCAGAAGAUUUCAAAAGUGGACUAUAGGCUGCCAGUUGGUGUUAGAGUUCAGAGAAUCCCUGGACUUCAGCACUAGAAAGGAGCAGCUGCUAUGUCGGUGGUGUCAGGGGCUGGAUGCAGGGGCUGUUGCACUGAUCCCAGCUUGCUCCAUUCACAAGCCCCUCAUCCAUCUCUGAAGACUGGGACCAAAGCCAGGGCUGGGGCAGGCCUCUCUGGGCACAGGGGCCUGUUAGCAUUGGUUUCAUUCCUUCACCAAGAGGCCUAAAGACAUUGGAAUGAUGAGGCAAUUAAUGUGAAACGGAAACAAGUGGCUUUAGUUCCAGGCAUUUGAAACUGAAAGGAAGCUGUUGACAUUCUUUGAGACCCACUCUAGGCUAUGAUUUAUGCUGUGCUAGCCAGAACUCUGCUACUUACUUGAAGUAGGACCUUGGGAAAGUCCCUUCUCUAGGCCUCAAUUUCCUCAUACGUAAAAGUGCAUCUGGGAUUAGUCAAGACCCUUCCAAGCCUGACAUGCUAUGGUCUAAGUGUCCCAGUAAUCUCUCUGUCACCCAGGGAUCAAAGAUUUACAGAUGUGUAGGAGAGAUGGGGAGGAACGGACUAAGAUAUGUCCUUGUGAGUUUAGUUAACUAAAAGACUGGGGGAAAGAAAGGGAAGUAAGAAAAUAAAGUGAAAAGGUGGAAGAAGGCAGAGUGUAAAAGAGGGAGAUAAGGAAAGUACAAAAGAUAGAGAUGUCUGCUGCAAUUUCUCAGUACUCUUCAGAUACAUCCUGGCCAGGUUUACUUUCUUAGGGGCAGGGUAGAUUGUGAGGGUGUGGAAAAUGGUAUUUUUUCAAAGAGAGUCACAAUAGUAUUGCCAUCUCACAUGCUCUUAUACAAUGUGAUCUUGCCAUUUCUCUACCAAGAUAAAUGCAGUCUAGUUUCUCUCCCUUUAAAUCUGAGCUGGCCUUAAGACUUGCAUGAACAAUAAAAUGUGGUGGAAGUUAUUCCAAGUGACUUCUGAGGCUUGAUCAGAAGCAGCUUUCCCUUAGUUACUUUGAGACAUUUGUUCUGAGGGAAGCCAAUCUGACUACCUGAGGCCAUUGUGCUGGAGAAGCCACACCUUGGCAUUCCUGUUGACAAUCCUAGCUGAACCCUGCCUUCUAAUCAUUUCCCUCAAGGCUUAUCAAAUAAGUGAAUGAAGCUAUCUUGGACUCUCCAGACCAGCCCAUGCUGCAGCUAAGUAUUACUGAUCAAUUUCACUUUAUACCACAGGGAGCGGAAGAAUCACCUAGCUGAGCCCUACCCAAAUUCCUGCGGUGUUUGUGCCUAGAUUUUUUUUAUAAAACAAAACACACUGGAACAGGAUGGUAGGAGAUUUUUUUGUUUUUGUUUUUUAAACGCUUGUUUCAAACAGCAAUGAAAAAUCCUUAAAAAUGUAUAAAUAAGACUUCAAGAUUUUAGAGGUGUGAAAUUUCAAAAGAAAUCUGGAGGCUGGGCGUGGUGGCUCACGCCUGUAAUCCCAGCACUUUGGGAGGCUGAGGCAGGUGGAUCACGAGGUCAGGAGAUCGAGACCAUCCUGGCUAACACAGUGAAACCCCGUCUCUACUAAAAAAUACAAAAAAUUAACUGGGCGUGGUGGCAGGCGCCUAUAGUCCCAGGUACUCAGGAGGCUGAGGCAGGAGAAUGGCAUGAACCUGGGAGGUGGAGCUUGCAGUGAGCCAAGAUCGUGCCACUGCACUCCAGCCUGGGUGACAGAGUAAGAUUCCGUCUCAAAAAAAAAAAAAAAAAAAAGAAAUCUGGAAGCCAACUUUCAAUUUGCCCAUUAAGGACUUUAGUACAAAACUACCAUCUUCUAUAGGUCAUUAUAUCGUUUUUGUUUUUGAGACAGAGUCUCACUCUGCCACACACAUUGCAGUGCAGUGGCGCAGUCUUGGUUCACUGCACCCUCCCUGUCCCAGGCUCAAAUCGUCCUCCCACCUCAGCCUUCCAAGUAGCCAGGAAUACAGGUAUGCACUACCAUGCCCAACUAAUUUUUAAUUUUUUUUUUAGUAGAGAUGAGGUCUCAAUGAAGCAGUGUUGUUGUCUGGGGUAAAUACCCGGGUUCAUCAUCUCGAGCCAAGAAGAUUAAGGACAUGAACACACAUGAAGAUCAAGGGAGAAGCAGUGAUGUUUUAGUAUCCAGAAAGUGGAAAUAACCCAAAUGCCCAUCAACAGCAGAAUGAAAUUGUACUAUAUUCACACCAUGGAAUGUUGUAUAGCAAAGAGAAUGAAUGAACUAUUACCAGAGAAGACAUGGACAAAUCUCAUAAACAUGAUGCUGAAAGAAACCACAGUCAAAAAAGUACAUUAUUAUGUGAUUCCAUUUAUAUAUAGUGGGAAAAGGAAGCAACAUUAAUUUAUGGUGUUAGAAGUUAGGAUAGUGGUUACCCUUAGGGGUAGUAACUGAAAGAGAACAUGAGAGGGGUAUUGGGGGUGCCGUGAUGUUUUGGUUCUUCAUCUGGGUGCUAGUUGCAUGGGGUUGCUCACUUUAUGAAAUACCAUUGAGUGGUAUGCUUUUGACCUGUGCACUGCUCUGCAUGUGUGAUAUACUUCAAAAUGAAACAUUAAGAUACAGGAGGAAGGACAUAGUCUCAAAGCAAAGGACAGUUUUUUUGUUGUUGUUUGUUUGUUUGUUUUAUUUUGUUUUGAGACAGAGUCUUGCUCUGUUGCCCAGGCUGGAGUGCAGUGGUGGGAUCUCGGCUCACUGCAACCUCUGCCUCCCAAAUUCAAGCAAUUCUCCUGCCUCAGCCUCCCGAGUAGCUGGGAUUACAGGCGUGCACCACCAGACCGGCUAAUUUUUGUAUUUUCAGUAGAGACAGGGUUUCACCAUGUUGGCCAGGCUGGUCUUGAACUCCUGACCUCAGGUGAUCUGCCUGCCUCAGCCUCCCAAAGUUCUGGGAUUACAGAUGUGAGCCACCAUGCCCAGCUAGAACAAGUCUUUAAAAACUAAAUUUAACUUUAUGAACAGUUUUACGAAAAAUGUACUAUAUUUGUCCACAUUUUCCUCAUCUCUCCUUGAAGCAGUGUAAAUUGCUUUAAGACAGGGUUCUGGGGCUAUGCCAAUGUCAGUGGGAAAAGAAAACAGGGGUGACAAGACUGGCAUCAACUGAUGCUGUGAGGAACAGGCCAGCUCUUUAAGGAAGGUGCCUCUCAUCUGCUCCUGGCUUCUGUGCUCAUAGUUCACACUCACGGUGUUGUGUGCAUGUCUAGGAAGAUGCUUCCCAACCUUUUGCAGACCAUGGCAUACGCAGAAAAUGACAACAUCGGAAUGGCACACUGGCAUACCAGUUGGAGAUCCUUGCAGUCAAUGCUGACUGGACUCAUCCUUCAGCCGCCCCCAGGAAGAGAGAGAUCAAUACCUUGGCACAUCUGUGGGAAAGCUCCCAUUAGAGAGUGUGGGGAAGACACAGGCCUCCACAACACAUUUCAGGUUCUCUAAACUGGCAAAGGGGAAGAGUCUGGGCUUCCUUUGCCCUUUUGUUCUCGAAGAGCCCAGCUGUGCACACCCCUCACCCCUGCACUAUAGCUCCCAUUUGGGUAGUGAAAAAUCACAGGACUCAGGGGAGUUAUGCAGCAUUCGGGAAUGGAGACCUGGAAAGCCACACACUCCUCCUUGCUUUCCUGUGAGCCUCUCUUCUUGCUGUCCCCUUUACAACCAACAGUCCCUGCAGGGGGAAGACACUCUGCUUUAGUCAGUUCCACCUCCCUUCCAGAUCUCAUCCUCCUUCCAGCCUAAUUUUCCUCACACUGUCAUGCUCCUUCCCACUGCUCGCCCCCCACCCCCUACUCUCCUCCAGCACAUCACACAUUGCGCCUGGGCACACUGAGCUUGUCUGCCAUCUAUGAACAGGCCCACGUCACCCAAGCCCUUCUCUUUCCCUGUCAUGCCAUAGCCUCUUCCAGGAGCGCUCAGCCUGCUGUUUCUGCUCAGACCUCCCCUCCUCUGCAAAGCCUCCUUCUGUGUGCUGCCCGAGAGCCAUCCCCCACUUGGGUUUGUGUUACUGCUGUGUAUGGCAGCAUCUUCACUGUGCCUGAUUUCCCGUCUUGGCCCAUCGUAGGUGCUCAACAAUUGUUUCUCAAAUGACCAGCAGCCUGCAGAGGGACCCUGACACGAACUCCACCCCACCCCGACUCUUGGCAGUUACUCACUGUCCCCUUGAGUUGGGAUCCCAGCCCCUCAGGGGACCUGUCUUGCAGCCAUUCCACGCUCUGUCACCCCACUGCCAGGAGACUAGAGCCACACUGCCUGGAUGACACUCAUCUUUACCAGCUCGCAGCUCUGCCGGCUGCCUGCUCAGGGGUGGCCGCCAGCUGAGGGAUUGAGCUGAUUAUAGGUGAAUCAGCACCAGGCUGAUUGUGGUGUGAAAAAGGGGAAGGGUGACUGUGUCUUAGCCUCAAUCCUGGCUCCCCUCCUUCCAGCCCUGACCGCCUCAAUCCUGGCUCCCCUCCUUCCAGCCCUGACCUGCAGUAACAGCACAGGGCCACCAGAGGCUCUAUUGGGCGACUCAUGCCCUGCGGAGAAAGGCCCAGUGGGAGAGCAUCUGACCCAGUUCCCAGCAGAUGAGAAAGGAAGAAGAGUUCAGGAGGCCUCUACUCUCAGAGGUCUCCAGCACUGAAACCCCGCAGCCCCACCUGGCUGCCUUAUCCUUGUGUUUUGCCCCUCAUGGGUCUAGAAGCUGUUGCGUUACACCUUAACAUCUUCCUCCUUGCUUGCCAUGAGCCCCUCUGCUUGCAGCCCCCUUUACAGAACAACAGUCAUGGUAGAGGGAAGAUGUCUCCACUUUUGUCAGUUCUGCCUCCUUUAGGAGAGUGUCAGGCCUAACCCAUGUGUGCUCUGUCUUUCAGGGCAUGGAAAAGACUAUUGUCCUGUUUCGUCUUUUCAACACCUCUUGACUCUCUCCCCCUGGUUUCCUAACAGCCAGCUAGGUUCAGGGCCUCCCAUCUCUGGCCAGGAUUAGUGCAAUGGCUUUCUGAAGGGUCCCAGGCUCCAGGGAGCCCCUUGCCCAUCAAGUCUCUACCCUGGAGCCAGACAGCCCUUACUCCCAUCAGACAUCAGCCUCCAGUGGCUCCGAAAGGCCAGGCAUCCACACAGCACCCCACGGCCCCAAGAACUGGCUGCUUGAUUUUCCUGCCCUGUGUCCCUCCUCUCCUUGGCCCUCUACCCAGCAAUCACCCCAAAACACUGUGAUGUUUCAAGCCUUUGUACUUUGCACACAUUCUUCUCCAUGGCCUAAUUCCCUCUCUCCACCCCUCACUCCACACCUCCUCCACCUUUACCCUUUCUCCCCAUUCUUUCUUCAUCGGGCACAGCCCUACUUAUCCUUCAAAACUGCCACUUCCUCUGCGAAGCCUUUCCUGACCCGUGUCCCCGAAUCCCUCCUCUGAACAAAUCCUGUUCCCUAAACAUGCAUCUCUCAUUGUAUCUGUCACUCAAGGGUUGCAAUAAUUACACACACGCCUGUCCUUUGUCCUCCACUGGCUCUGUACCUCCAUGUGGGACCCAUGGCCAGCACACAUUGGUGGUGCCCGAAAGCUGUUGCACUGGAGUUGUUCCUUCUGCCCCGUCACCUCCCACCUUGAGCAAGUCCUUUAGAUGACCCGAACUCCAGUUUGUUGAUCUGCAAAAUGGAGAGAUGUGAGAAUCAGAAGAGAACACGUAAUGAAAGGGUGUUAUAAACUGCUAAGGGCUGUACAAAUGUUUGUAUUGCAUUUUUGUCUUCCAGACUAGUGUUUACCUACACUUGCCUGUGUGGAAAUCAGAAGAUUAAAGGAAUGCGAUGUGAUCUUUUUGUAAUUUCCCCACUUGGGUCAAGGGAAAAGCUGGUCAAGAGUAAACCAUUAAUUCAUCCCCCUGCAGGCCCCCCAAUCUUCCCUAGAAUUCUGGGUUAAUGAUUCUGAGGUUGUUUUCCUCACAGAGCCAAUUCAUAUCUAAUCUUUGGCAUGUUCCCCCCUUUAUUAAGAAUAACUUGACUCACUCCAUUAAUUCCUCAUCCUGGGGUCAGGAGCCUUGUUUUGCAGAAGGAAAUGGUGGCUGUGUGUAUGUCUUGGGCCUUCUUUCUUUCUCAAACCCCUUUCAUGGAUUCAUGCCUAAAAUUCCCUCUGUGGACAGAAGAGACCUCUCCUUACCCGCAUAAUGAAAUGUGUGACUUUUCUCAAAAGUAGCUUUAGGAAUUAACUGUGGAGGUCCAAGUAGCAAGGAUGCUGUGACCUAACUCGUUACCCCCUCACGUGUGGUUUAAUUGCUUUUGGAAUCCCAGCAGAAAAAAUUUCCUGAAGAUCUGGUACAGAGAAACCAUUCUGGGCCUGGCUUUUAAAUGUUUUAUUAGCAGCUGGGCAAGUACUGGGCUGCAAAGAGAUGCAGCCCCCGUCAGAAGCGAUCCCUGGUGGGGAGCAAGGCCUGGAAUUCCAGGAGGGAGGUCUGUUUAUAGCUGAGGCAGAGGCUGGGGAGCGAAGCCUGGGAGCCAGACAUGGCUUAAGGGUGGUCUGGACACUCUUGAGAUAAGGCCAACUAAGGACUAUGAGCUCAUUGAAGUUCCAAAGCCAACUCACAGCAGCUCACCACCAGACAUGUCCCCUGCCCCCACAUUCCCUCCUCUCAAUCCAGGAAUUUUGGUGCUCAUCUCUAUAAAGUUUUAGACCAUGGUGGUAGGAACCUGGUAAGUCUCAGGUUCUUGCGUUGCCCGAUUCUCCUUUGAUUUGCUGGGUUUGCCUCCUUCCCAUGUCUCAGACAGGGCUUUGCAUAAAGAAGUGGGCUGGUAGAUCUGCAAAGGUCCCUCUGUGUGACUGGAGCAAGUUACCCUCUUGAGCCUCAGUGUCCUCUUCUGUAAAAUAGGGAUAUCAUUCUUUCUUUCCCAAGGCUUUUGGUAAUAAUGUCAUUCUCAUGUGAUUCUUAACAAAAUGGGCCUUUCAGACUUAGAUCACUUUUGUGCAUGCAUAAAAAUGAAAGCAUUGAGGAGAAGGAAUUGGUGAAUAUAUGUCUGGAGCAAUAACUUCAUCAGAACUGCCACGGUGAUUGUAGGACCAUUCUGAUUCCAGAGGUAUUAAAAUGCAAAACACAAUAUUGAAAUGCAAAACCCAACAAAAUAAUAAACAGCCUUGUACCUACCUCCUCCCUUAAGAACUAAAACAAUUCCCAACACCACUGAAAGACUGUGUUCACCUCCUUGAUCCAAUCUCUUGCCUUUCCACCCCAGAGAAAACCACUGUCCUGAAUUUUUUCCCACUCCCUUGGUUUUGUUUUACCAAACAUGUAUCCAAUAUGUAACAUAUUAUUUGUAUUUGAUCUUGUUUUUGAAUUGUCCUGUAGGUAGAAUUAUAUCUUAUUCUGCAAUUUGCUUUUUAAAGUUUUUGAAAGAGCAAAA